GCAAGCUGCCCGCUGCUUCUGCACUCGAAGAUGUUCUGGGAGUAAAAGGGUGAAAUAUCUGUGAGAGGACGACCCCAUUGCUGGGCCUUCUGGCUCUGGUGGAGCGGCAUCUCACAGGGAACACUAGGGAAGACACUUUAACUACAUGCUUUUCUUUAUCCAGAUCACCUCUGUCUCUGAUUGAGGUUCCUUAAAUAUAUUUUUUUCUAAAACACAGGUUAGAACCUUCUCAUCAUAAACAGUGGUAGCUCUCUGUACACAUUGAGGCCACAAGGUUGAAAAAGAAGGAGGUGCUUUGCCUUAAACUGUUGGAGCAUUUGAUGAGCUGCUGCAGACUCAACUAUUGAUCUGCUUUGGGAUCAAUACAUAGAUCAAUGAAAGAGAGAGGGAGGUGUGUGUGCAUCUCCUGCCACAGCUGUUGAGCUCCCCUCGUACGUGCUCACAUCCGGAGAGACGAGAAGGAGGAGGCGGGGAGGCAGACGUCCGUCCCAGGCUCUGCAGACUCACUAUUCUCUUUUCCUUUUUCGUGCUCCGAGUGUUUGGAAUGACCAGCUUUCCUGCCUGCGUCGUUUCCAUGUCAGCAUGGGAACUGCCGCGUCCAG
rnacentral:lncRNA from 1 species